ensembl:snoRNA SNORD58 Small nucleolar RNA SNORD58
CUGCAGUGAUGCGUUUCUUAGGACACCUUUGGAAUUACCGUGAAAAUGAAUCCGUUCUGAGCGGC